GCCCCGGUAGCUCAAUGGAUAGAGCAACAGCCUUCUAAGCUGUCGGUUAGAGGUUCGAGUCCUCUCCGGGGUA
rnacentral:tRNA from 1 species